GGAAUAUUGGACAAUGGGCGCAAGCCUGAUCCAGCCAUGCCGCGUGCAGGAUGACGGUCCUAUGGAUUGUAAACUGCUUUUAUACGAGAAGAAACACUGGUUCGUGAACCAGCUUGACGGUAUCGUAAGAAUAAGGAUCGGCUAACUCCGUGCCAGCAGCCGCGGUAAUACGGAGGAUCCAAGCGUUAUCCGGAAUCAUUGGGUUUAAAGGGUCCGUAGGCGGUCAGAUAAGUCAGUGGUGAAAGCCCAUCGCUCAACGGUGGAACGGCCAUUGAUACUGUCUGACUUGAAUUAUUAGGAAGUAACUAGAAUAUGUAGUGUAGCGGUGAAAUGCUUAGAGAUUACAUGGAAUACCAAUUGCGAAGGCAGGUUACUACUAAUAUAUUGACGCUGAUGGACGAAAGCGUGGGUAGCGAACAGGAUUAGAUACCCUGG
rnacentral:rRNA from 1 species